rnacentral:antisense_RNA from 1 species
CUUCAGCGAGCCCAGGUAGAGCGGCCGGCCCUCGGGGCGCUCCUGCCCGUAGGUGGCCAGGAGGGCCUGGGCCUC